rnacentral:rRNA from 1 species
AACGAACGCUGGCGGCAUGCCUAACACAUGCAAGUCGAACGAGCCCUUCGGGGUUAGUGGCGCACGGGUGCGUAACGCGUGGGAAUCUGCCCUUGGGUUCGGAAUAACAGUGAGAAAUUACUGCUAAUACCGGAUGAUGUCUUCGGACCAAAGAUUUAUCGCCCAAGGAUGAGCCCGCGUAGGAUUAGCUAGUUGGUGGGGUAAUGGCCUACCAAGGCGACGAUCCUUAGCUGGUCUGAGAGGAUGAUCAGCCACACUGGGACUGAGACACGGCCCAGACUCCUACGGGAGGCAGCAGUGGGGAAUAUUGGACAAUGGGCGAAAGCCUGAUCCAGCACGGCCGCGUGAGUGAUGAAGGCCUUAGGGUUGUAAAGCUCUUUUACCCGGGAUGAUAAUGACAGUACCGGGAGAAUAAGCUCCGGCUAACUCCGUG